CCUCUUUUUCCGGCUGGAACCAUGGAGGGUGUAGAGAGAAGAAGAAGGAGGUUCCUGCUGUGCCAGAAACCCUUAAGAAAAAGCGAAGGAAUUUCGCAGAGCUGAAGAUCAAGCGCCUGAGAAAGAAGUUUGCCCAAAAGAUCUUCGAAAGGCAAGGAGGAAGCUUAUCUAUGAAAAAGCAAAGCACUAUCACAAGGAAUAU
rnacentral:lncRNA from 1 species